rnacentral:rRNA from 1 species
UGGGGAAUUUUGGACAAUGGGGGAAACCCUGAUCCAGCAAUCCCGCGUGCGCGAUGAAGGCCUUCGGGUUGUAAAGCACUUUUGGCAGGAAAGAAACGUCAUGGGUUAAUACCCCGUGAAACUGACGGUACCUGCAGAAUAAGCACCGGCUAACUACGUGCCAGCAGCCGCGGUAAUACGUAGGGUGCAAGCGUUAAUCGGAAUUACUGGGCGUAAAGCGUGCGCAGGCGGUUCGGAAAGAAAGAUGUGAAAUCCCAGAGCUCAACUUUGGAACUGCAUUUUUAACUACCGGGCUAGAGUGUGUCAGAGGGAGGUGGAAUUCCGCGUGUAGCAGUGAAAUGCGUAGAUAUGCGGAGGAACACCGAUGGCGAAGGCAGCCUCCUGGGAUAACACUGACGCUCAUGCACGAAAGCGUGGGGAGCAAACAGG